AUUGAACGCUGGCGGCAGGCUUAACACAUGCAAGUCGAGCGAGCGGCGGACGGGUGAGUAAUGUCUGGGAAACUGCCUGAUGGGGGGGGAUAACUACUGGAAACGGUAGCUAAUACUGAAUACCAUCAGAUGUGCCCAGAUGGGAUUCGCUAGUAGUGGGGGUAAUGGCUCACCUAGGCGACGAUCCCUAGCUGGUCUGAGAGGAGGACCAGCCACACUGGAACUGAGACACGGUCCGGACUCCUACGUGAGGCAGCAGUGGGGAAUAGUGCACAAUGGGCGCAAGCCUGAUGCAGCCAUGCCGCGUGUGUGAAGAAGGCCUUCGGGUUGUAAAGCACUUUCAGCGAGGAGGCGUUACUCGCAGAAGAAGCACCGGCUAACUACGUGCCAGCAGCCGCGGUAAUAC
rnacentral:rRNA from 1 species